AAUGCCUAUGGCUGCUCUAGUGUUACAGUGGCAGAGAUGAGUUGUUAACAGAGGUUGUAUGGUUUCUUUACAGAAAAGGUUCCUCGGCUUCUGCUGUAGGGUACGGCCUUCCCCCGCCUGACUGAAGAUGACUGCGGUGCUCCGUGAGAGUGAUGAGCAGUCGCCCGACACAGAUGAGGUAGGUGACCUGCGAUCAUUUCAUCAGGGGAGAGGAGCUGGCCUUUGGCCGGUGAGUGAGCGAGAAUCAGUGUUGGAGCCGAAAAGGCCUGCCCAGCUCCGGCACCUCGCGCGUGCAUGAACUGGUGUCUCGCUUCAAAGAGCCUUACUUCCCAUUAGCUGCUCCUGAUUCUUCCCUUUAUCGGUCAAGCUUUUUGUUAGAGGCGGUCGAACUGGCUGUCCCACUUCCUAACCUCCCGUUUAUUCUCUGCCCAUUGACUUCUGACUUCCACGUCUUCCGAAACUGCACCGGCAAACGGGGACUUCGCUUCCCUGGCGUCUCAGCAGAGCCGCGCCCUGGGCGUCCCCCUCCCGUCCCCACUUCCUUCGCGGCGCUUCUCAUCUCCCCGAUGAUGGCUUCUUGCGACCCUGAGAUGAUGCCUAUUACAUCCAGCAACCCCAGGAAUCAAAACCCUCUGGUCUGCAGCUGCCACCCUGCCACACACGGCAUUUGCUGGUUCUUCAAGCCAUCUGCUAGGCAUCUUCCUGUCGUCAUUGAGUGCAACCUGCAAGUCAUUCCACAACCUGGUCUGAGAACCACACCUUUACGGGCUCCUGUACGUGUGUUCUGUGCUGCAGGUCGAACACUGACUUUAUAGAAAGAUCACACCAAGAUGGUCUAAGGCACUGUGUUGCUAGCAGGUAAAGAAGUCAAGAUUCUCCUGACAGAAGACUUGAGUGAACUAUGUGAAAAUAUUCCCAAGUCCACAAUGUCCAGGAGAAAGUGUAUGAGGCCAUUUUUCUGGUUAGGAGUCCUGUCUUACAGUUUUCCCCAUCAGUGGGUUUUAGGUUUGCCCUUUGACCUCUCUGUACCUCAGCAGCUUCCCCCAUAAAGCUGACUUAGGACAAAUUUGUACAGAGGCUUAUGCUUCUGACUAAUAUGGUAUAAUAAGGUAUAGAUUUAUCUUCCUGUCUGAAAAAUUUUUUAAAUAGAUAAGAUAUGUGGAAAAAAUGAGCCUUAGGACAUUAACUAUCAGGCAAUAAAAUCAGUGAUCACUGAGAAAUGAAAACAAAUGAAGUAAGCUCUACAACUGCCCAGAUUGCUGCCUGGUGAAGGCCACCAGCUGCAGUUCAGGCAGGGUGAACCCAGACAGAGAUCAG